AAAAAAAAAAAAACACAAAUACAAAAAGCAAGAUCAAACCAAACCAAAAUGAAGUUAAUGUUGCCUCUGCACGUUCCUCUGAUUAAACUUAUUUGCUCUGACCUUGCAUUCUCGAAUUGCCAACAGGUGCAGGUGAAAACUCUUGUUAUAUGAGGAACGAGCUUUAAAAAAGCCCACCACCAGAAAUGUGCAUGUGAAAGAAGAUGAAUUAUUGAACUGAGAUGCAAAUAUACCUUAUUUGUAUGUGCAAGAUAAAGUUGUACGUUGUACAGAAAAGUAUGUGACUUCUUAAGAAUGAAAUGAAGUAGAAUAUGGCAAAGGCUUGCAGAACUGCUUUUGAAAUAUAUUGGUUCUUAUAGGGUGACUUUGAACUGUAAAUUAAAGAAAGCAAGCCUCGGUAGUCUGAACAUUAGGGUCUUUUGAGGAUAUGGAUGUCUUCCUAAACAAGGACGAAGUAUGAAACAGCAAGGAAUGCAGUAGAAUAUUUCUGGCUUCAGUAAAUGAAGGGACUGACGAGAAGACAGAUGAAUAUUAAGUGCCUAGCUGUCUCGUGCCCUGUGAAGAAGAAGUUAGAAGGCAAAUUUUUGCACCUAGGAAGGCUACAUUCAGAUGCAUUCAGGAGAUGCAUUCAGGAGCUGUGUUGAUAUGGUGACACCCUUUGUUCCUUUGAACGUGUAGUAAUUGUUCUUUUGAAUGCUGAGAGUAUUUCUGCACAGAGGCUUCUCACUCUGGAAGGACCCAGGGGCACAUCAGUGCUGCCUAUGGACCUGGCUGUCUCUUGAAACAGGUAUACUGCAAUCAAUAAUGACUAAAUGGAGGUGCAAGACACCAUCCAGAAGCUCUUGAUCAGAGCAGAUGAAGGUAUUUCUCAAGUUGCUUUAAAUUUCAAAUGAUCACGACCUUUAUGUGGUAAGGAAUUGUGAUGAAAACCUCUUAAAUGUCAGGAGAGUAUGGACAUCCUGUUUUUGUAAAGGGCUGAGCUACAGUGCAUGAAGUCAUUGAAAAGACCAUAUUUGUGCAGGCAGAACAUCUCACGGUGCUUUCAGGUAAGAUGCUGUGUUUUAACUAUAGAAAAAUGAGGAUGACAUUUCCAAGGGACAAACAUGGGAAGAACUGCCAGGAACACAAAUUGUAUUUCCAUCAGUUUUGUGAAGUAAAAGAAAGGUUAUGAAAAAAGUCCUGUUCACAGUAGGUACUACUUAAGCUGUUGCUGAAUACAGUGAUGAAGCAUCUUCCCAGAGGGAAUAUUUAGAACCAGAAAAUUCAGUCAGAUAAGAAUGGGAGAAAAACUUUUGCAUACAUAGACAUAUACAUAUGGUGCAUAAAAUGUAUCAUAUCAUUCUUAGUGCAUUUGAAUUGAAUUAUGAUUAAAUUAGCCAGUGGUGG
rnacentral:lncRNA from 1 species